CGUAGGGUGCGAGCGUUAAUCGGAAUUACUGGGCGUAAAGCGUGCGCAGGCGGUUCGUUGUGUCGGUGGUGAAAGCCCCGGGCUUAACCUGGGAAUGGCCAUGGAAACUGGCGAACUGGAGUGUGGCAGAGGGGGGUGGAAUUCCGCGUGUAGCAGUGAAAUGCGUAGAGAUGCGGAGGAGCACCGAUGGCGAAGGCAGCCCCCUGGGCUAGCACUGACGCUCAGGCACGAAAGCGUGGGGAGCAAACAGGAUUAGAUACCCUGGUAGUCCACGCCCUAAACCAUGUCAACUGGGUGUUCGGGAAGCGAUUUCUGAGUACCGUAGCUAACGCGUGAAGUUGACCGCCUGGGGAGUACGGCCGCAAGGUUA
rnacentral:rRNA from 1 species